AGAGUUUGAUCCUGGCUCAGAGCGAACGCUGGCGGCAUGCUUAACACAUGCAAGUCUCACGGGCAGCAAUGUCAGUGGCGGACGGGUGAGUAACGCGUAGGGAUCUGUCCUCGGGUGGGGGAUAACUGUGGGAAACUACAGCUAAUACCGCAUGAAACCUGUGGGUCAAAGGCGCAAGUCGCCUGAGGAGGAACCUGCGU
rnacentral:rRNA from 1 species